GACGAACGCUGGCGGCGUGCUUAACACAUGCAAGUCGAACGGAAAGGCCCUGCUUUUGUGGGGUGCUCGAGUGGCGAACGGGUGAGUAACACGUGAGUAACCUGCCCUUGACUUUGGGAUAACUUCAGGAAACUGGGGCUAAUACCGGAUAGGAGCUCCUGCUGCAUGGUGGGGGUUGGAAAGUUUCGGCGGUUGGGGAUGGACUCGCGGCUUAUCAGCUUGUUGAUGGGGUAGUGGCUUACCAAGGCUUUGACGGGUAGCCGGCCUGAGAGAGUGACCGGCCACAUUGGGACUGAGAUACGGCCCAGACUCCUACGGGAGGCAGCAGUGGGGAAUAUUGCACAAUGGGCGGAAGCCUGAUGCAGCAACGCCGCGUGCGGGAUGACGGCCUUCGGGUUGUAAACCGCUUUCGCCUGUGACGAAGCGUGAGUGACGGUAAUGGGUAAAGAAGCACCGGCUAACUACGUG
rnacentral:rRNA from 1 species